UUCUCGGCCCAUCUAGCACGUGUAGAACGCAACCCUAAUCAGAUGCGCUCCUUCGCUUCUCUUCGAUUGACGACGAGACGAUCGACAUUCCGUAACAGUGGGCGUUUUGAUGUAUUCGUUGGAAUAUUGGAAUAAUCGACGUCCAUUCUGCUUCAUCCUCCUUUACUCGACGGCGUUACUAACCUCCAUUAUUCUCCAAAUCAAUUAUCCCCACAACGUGCCAUUGAAUGGCGAUUCUUCGGCUUCUCCGUUAAUCCUAGAUAUUGAUAUAUAUUAUCCGUUUGCUUCAUAUGUGACUCAUUGUUUUUAUACUCUCUCUGCACUAUACCUUGCCAAAUUCUAGCUCACUGUAAUGGCGACUUCCUAAGUGAACCCUUCUAAUCUGAAGAUUGGCCGUUGUAAGGAGAUUGUGGUGGGCCGUUUGCUUCCAUUCUGAGAAGCUCGGAAUCUGAAGAAAAGAGGCGAACUUAUUGGAGUUGACAUGUUGUUUGGACGAGAAGUCAACCUUGAUACAAGGUUCCAUCGUCCCCACACCGGCUUAACAGUUUCAAGAAUCUACAGAGGGAAGGAAGAGUGUACUAGCUCAGUUAUCCUUAUGUUGCUAGAAGCAACAUUCACUUCAAGCUGUGUGACCCACCGGUCUGUGUUUGAUUUACAGGGCAUACCAACUUUUUCGAGUUGAUGAACCAUAUUGAUUUCAUUCCAGAUGAGAAUUAUUCAAACGUACAGGAUCACACUCUUUGACAACAAAAACUGAGCCACGCAGGGAUUUUUAAAAGAGUUUUGUGGAGGUGGGGCUGGAUCCUCUUCAACUACAUCCAAGUAUGGUGGUGUUAAGACCAGGAGAUUGAUAGCUACUUUCUCAACUCAACCCCGACUGUACAUCCACUUAGCAAGUCCACUACUAAGACUCUAUCAAGCUGAGGCUGUGGAGUCCAUUUGCAAGGCUGAGGUGGCUGAUAUUGACAAGGAUGGUGCUAUAUCCCCUGUUAUAAGUGCUCGCACAAACUGCUUCAUUGAUUCACAUCUUACUAUAGUUUAUUUAAAGUAUAGACUUCAUACAUUGAGUUAGAAAAUGGUGAUUAACUUUACACA